GACGAACGCUGGCGGCGUGCCUAAUACAUGCAAGUUGAGCGCUGAAGGUUGGUACUUGUACCAACUGGAUGAGCAGCGAACGGGUGAGUAACGCGUGGGGAAUCUGCCUUUGAGCGGGGGACAACAUUUGGAAACGAAUGCUAAUACCGCAUAAAAACUUUAAACACAAGUUUUAAGUUUGAAAGAUGCAAUUGCAUCACUCAAAGAUGAUCCCGCGUUGUAUUAGCUAGGUGGUGAGGUAAAGGCUCACCAAGGCGAUGAUACAUAGCCGACCUGAGAGGGUGAACGGCCACAUUGGGACUGCGACACGGCCCAAACUCCUACGGGAGGCAGCAGUAGGGAAUCUUCGGCAAUGGACGAAAGUCUGACCGAGCAACGCCGCGUGAGUGAAGAAGGUUUUCGGAUCGUAAAACUCUGUUGGUAGAGAAGAACGUUGGUGAGAGUGGAAAGCUCAUCAAGUGACGGUAACUACCCAGAAAGGGACGGCUAACUACGUG
rnacentral:rRNA from 1 species